rnacentral:tRNA from 1 species
GUCGGCAUGGUGAAGCGGUAAUCACGAAGGUAUCACGAAGGUCUUAUGAACCUUAAUCCUAGGUUCAAACCCUAGUGUCGACG